UACGAGGGGGGCAAGCGUUGUUCGGAAUUAUUGGGCGUAAAGGGUGCGUAGGCGGUUUGGUAAGUCUUAUGUGAAAUCUACAGGCUCAACUUGUAGUCUGCAUGAGAAACUGCCGGGCUUGAGUAUGGGAGAGGUGAGUGGAAUUCCUGGUGUAGCGGUGGAAUGCGCAGAUAUCAGGAGGAACACCAAUAGCGAAGGCAGCUCGCUGGGACGUUACUGACACUAAGGCGCGAAAGCGUGGGGAGCGAACAGG
rnacentral:rRNA from 1 species